rnacentral:rRNA from 1 species
UGGGGAAUUUUGGACAAUGGGCUAAAGCCUGAUCCAGCAAUGCCGCGUGUGUGAAGAAGGCCUUCGGGUUGUAAAGCACUUUUUGUCCGGAAAGAAAUCCUUGGCUCUAAUACAGUCGGGGGAUGACGGUACCGGAAGAAUAAGCACCGGCUAACUACGUGCCAGCAGCCGCGGUAAUACGUAGGGUGCAAGCGUUAAUCGGAAUUACUGGGCGUAAAGCGUGCGCAGGCGGUUUGCUAAGACCGAUGUGAAAUCCCCGGGCUCAACCUGGGAACUGCAUUGGUGACUGGCAGGCUAGAGUAUGGCAGAGGGGGGUAGAAUUCCACGUGUAGCAGUGAAAAUGCGUAGAGAUGUGGAGGAAUACCGAUGGCGAAGGCAGCCCCCUGGGGCCAAAUACUGACGCUCAUGCACGAAAAGCGUGGGGGAGCAAAACAGGAUUAGAUACCCCUGGUAGUCCACGCCCCUAAAACGAUGUCAACUAGUUGUU